rnacentral:rRNA from 1 species
AUACGUAGGGGGCUAGCGUUGUUCGGAAUCACUGGGCGUAAAGGGAGUGUAGNCGGACCGGUAAGUUAGGAGUUAAAUGUACGGGCUCAACCCGUGAUCUGCUUGUAAUACUGUCGGUCUUGAGUAUGGGAGAGGGAGAUGGAAUUCCAGGUGUANCGGUGGAAUGCGUAGAUAUCUGGAAGAACACCAGUUGCGAAGGCGGUCUCCUGGACCAAUACUGACGCUGAUGCUCGAAAGCUGGGGGAGCGAACAGGAUUAGAUACCCUGGUAGUCCCAGCCGUAAACGAUGGACACUAGUUGCCGGAGGAGUCAAUCCCUUCGGUGACGAAGCUAACGCAUUAAGUGUCCCGCCUGGGGAGUACGCUCGCAAGGGUGAAACUCAAAGGAAUUGACGGGGGCCCGCACAAGCGGUGGAGCAUGUGCUUUAAUUCGAUGCAACGCGAAGAACCUUACCCGGGUUUGACAUGGGGGUGAAAGUUUCCAGAGAUGGAAGCCUUUCCUUCGGGAACACCCCACACAGGUGCUGUAUGGUUGUCGUCAGCUCGUGUCGUGAGAUGUUGGGUUAAGUCCCGCAACGAGCGCAACCCCUGCCCUUAGUUGCCAUCAGGUAAAGCUGGGAACUCUAAGGGGACAGCUUGGUAUAACCAGGAGGAAGGUGGGGAUGACGUCAAAUCAUCAUGGCUCUUACGCCCAGGGCUAGACACGUGCUACAAUGGCAGGUACAGUGGGAUGCCAGCCUGCGAAGGUGAGCUAAUCCCUUAAAACCUGUCUCAGUCCGGAUUGGAGUCUGCAACUCGACUCCAUGAAGUUGGAAUCGCUAGUAAUCGCGGAUCAGCAUGCCGCGGUGAUACGUUCCCGGGCCUUGUACACACCGCCCGUCAAGCCAUGAAAGGCGGUAGUACCCGAAGUCGCGUACCCAACCGUAAGGAGGGAAGCGCCGAAGGUAAGACUGCUAAUUGGGCUAAGUCGUANCAAG